GGACGAAUUCAAUGACUUCUCAGUAUUGGAACGUGUAGGAAUUCAGUGUGCCAGAAUAUCAAAAUAGACGGAGGAGGAUAUGUUUGGCAGGAUGGUCUUAACGGCUUUACAAACAUAUAUAUAUUACCAUUUGAUUAAAAUCAAUAAAUCGCACCGAUUUGUAUCAAAUGUUAUUAUUAUAACAUAAAAUAAUCGAGAUAUACGCCAUUAUAUUAUUGUUUAUAACGAUCAUCACUCAACUGUAUAAUUGCACGGAAAAAUGUUGAAAACUUAAAAGCUGCCGGGC